UACGUAGGUGGCAAGCGUUGUCCGGAAUUAUUGGGCGUAAAGCGCGCGCAGGCGGUCCUUUAAGUCUGAUGUGAAAGCCCACGGCUCAACCGUGGAGGGUCAUUGGAAACUGGGGGACUUGAGUGCAGGAGAGAAGAGUGGAAUUCCACGUGUAGCGGUGAAAUGCGUAGAGAUGUGGAGGAACACCAGUGGCGAAGGCGACUUUCUGGCCUGUUCUUGACGCUGAGGCGCGAAAGCUAGGGGAGCAAACGGG
rnacentral:rRNA from 1 species